rnacentral:rRNA from 1 species
UACAGAGGGGGCAAGCGUUAUUCGGAAUUAUUGGGCGUAAAGGGCGCGUAGGCGGCUUGGCAAGUGGAUGGUGAAAUCCCUCGGCUUAACCGAGGAACUGCCGUCCAAACUGCUUCGCUUGAGACCGGGAGAGGUGAGUGGAAUUCCCAGUGUAGCGGUGAAAUGCGUAGAUAUUGGGAGGAACACCAGUGGCGAAGGCGGCUCACUGGACCGGUACUGACGCUGAGACGCGAAAGCGUGGGGAGCGAACAGG